rnacentral:rRNA from 1 species
UUGAACUGAAGAGUUUGAUCCUGGCUCAGAUUGAACGCUGGCGGCAUGCCUUACACAUGCAAGUCGAACGGCAGCACGGGGGCAACCCUGGUGGCGAGUGGCGAACGGGUGAGUAAUACAUCGGAACGUGUCCUGUAGUGGGGGAUAGCCCGGCGAAAGCCGGAUUAAUACCGCAUACGACCUAAGGGAGAAAGCGGGGGAUCUUCGGACCUCGCGCUAU